rnacentral:rRNA from 1 species
UAGGGAAUCUUCCACAAUGGACGAAAGUCUGAUGGAGCAACGCCGCGUGAGUGAUGAAGGGUUUCGGCUCGUAAAACUCUGUUGUUGGAGAAGAACGGGUGUCAGAGUAACUGUUGACAUCGUGACGGUAUCCAACCAGAAAGCCACGGCUAACUACGUGCCAGCAGCCGCGGUAAUACGUAGGUGGCAAGCGUUGUCCGGAUUUAUUGGGCGUAAAGCGAGCGCAGGCGGUUUUUUAGGUCUGAUGUGAAAGCCUUCGGCUUAACCGGAGAAGUGCAUCGGAAACCGGGAGACUUGAGUGCAGAAGAGGACAGUGGAACUCCAUGUGUAGCGGUGAAAUGCGUAGAUAUAUGGAAGAACACCAGUGGCGAAGGCGGCUGUCUGGUCUGCAAACUGACGCUGAGGCUCGAAAGCAUGGGUAGCGAACAGGAUUAGAUACCCUGGUAGUCCAUGCCGUAAACGAUGAGUGCUAAGUGUUGGAGGUUUCCGCCCUUCAGUGCUGCAGCUAACGCAUUAAGCACUCCGCCUGGGGGAGUACGACCGCAAGGUUGAAAC